UUUUAUGAUUUUGAUUUAUAAAAAGAUACUUUUUAAAUUAGCAAAAUACUGUCAACUGAAAUGGUAACCUCCUCACUCCUUUUGCAUGUUUCCAUUUCCAUUAGAUUGUUCAGAUAUUCUUGCCGGAUUUAACUCCACAAUCCCAUUUACCAAAUCUUUCCCAUUUUAGUUUGAUUUUAGGUUGGCAUAAAAUUGAAAUGACAAAAAUUAGGUAUUCCACAAAGCAAUCUCCUAUGAAAAAUCCCCAACAAAGAUAAGUUCUUUUUCUUCUACAAUUUAUUUUUAAAGUUUUUGAAUCAUUUUUAUUUUUUUAUAUUGAAGUUCAUGUAGAAGAAGAAGGGAGUGAUAGUGAUUUCGAAGAUUUCAUUGUCAAUGUCGUGAAAAAGAACAAACCGAUUGCUCCUCCGCCCGUUGAUGUCAAGUUUUUUUUCUGUCAAACUGAUGAAAAAAACGUUGAAUGAAGGCGUUUUGAGUUGAACGAAGAAAUGAGUUGUUAGAGUGGGAAGAAGAUAGGCGAACGAUGAACGAAAGCGAACGAUGAACGAAAGCGGUUUGAGUUGAACGAAGAAAGGAGUCGUUGGAGUGGGACGAAGAUAGGCGAACGAUGAACGAAAGCGAACGAUGAACGAAGGCGCGGUGGCUGGCAGCUGUUGUCUUUUUUAUUGUAAUUGGGAUAUUAGCAAUGAUGUAAAAAUAAUUAAGGUUAACUAUAUGUUUUUUAAUGGUUAAUUAAUAGUUAACUAACUGUGUAUGAUUUUUUAUAUAAAACAUGAAUAUAUAUUGAUAAUUACUUUUUUUAA